GGUCAUACUGCCAAGCCACUCUGCUCUUCCACAUUGUAUUCGUGUAUACCAACAACGCCGAAGAUGUGUCGGCACUCUAUGCUCAGCUAAAGUCUUGAGACAUUCAAAUUAAGAGCAUAACAGGGUGAAAUUGGUCACCGAAACAUCUGAACCAGAUAUUCGGCGGGGCAGAACCACCGGUUUGACCAUGACAAAGAGUAUGCGCCAAUGGCAAAGAGUAUCCGCCAAGACUUCCAAGGAGCGGUUGAUGUUGCCGAAGGUAUAACAUGUCCACAGACAAUACGUCGGGCAACACGGUGAUACGUCGGGCAACACGGUGAUACGUCGGGCAACACGGUGAAGUCGGCAGGGCUGGAACUAUGUACAGGAAUUGCAGGAAAGAAU